rnacentral:misc_RNA from 1 species
CUGAAAUCAAUCAUGCCAUUGGAGCAGAAGGGAUUGUGAGUGCUGAGUGCAAGGAAGUGAUUACACAGUAUGGAGAGUUAAUAUGGGAUCUACUGAUAUCAGGGAUACAACCUGGUAAAGUAUGCUCACAGCUAGGUUUAUGCAUUUUCAACGGGGCUCAGUAUAAGAGCACUGUGAUUGAAUCAGUGGUUGAGAAGGAAAACAAGGAGGAAUCGUCUAUUGGGGAUGAUCUUCUAUGCACAGCCUGUGAGAUGCUUGUCAUUUGGGUCCAGAAUCAACUAAAACAAAAGAAGACAAAGGAGGCAGCACUCAACUAUGUGAAUAAGUUAUGCGAUAGCCUCCCAAGUCCAAUGGGAGAGUCAGUGAUCGAUUGUGACAGCGUUUUAAGCAUGCCAAACAUCACUUUUACCAUAGGAGAUAAACCUUUCAAUCUCACUCCAGAGCAGUAUAUUCUG